rnacentral:rRNA from 1 species
GACGGGUGAGUAGCACGUAGGUGAUCUACCCCAGAGACGGGGAUAACGGACGGAAACGUCCGCUAAUACCGGAUGACCUUGUCAGGUCAAAGCGACAAGGAAAGGCUCCGGCGCUCUGGGAGGAGCCUGCGGCCCAUCAGCUAGUUGGCGGGGUAAAGGCCCACCAAGGCGAAGACGGGUAGGGGGUGUGAGAGCAUGGCCCCCCACAAUGGGACUGAAACACGGCCCAUACUCCUACGGGAGGCAGCAGCAGGGAAUAUUGCACAAUGGACGGAAGUCUGAUGCAGCGACGCCGCGCGGAUGAUGAAGGCCCUCGGGUUGUAAAAUCCUUUACAAGGGGACGAGGAAGGACGGUACCCUUGGAACAAGUGUCGGCUAACUACGUGCCAGCAGCCGCGGUAAGACGUAGGACACAAGCGUUAUCCGGAUUUACUGGGCGUAAAGCGUCUGCAGGCGGACAGGUAAGUUGGGCGUGAAAGCUCCGGGCUCAACCCGGAGAGGUCGUUCAAUACUGCGUGUCUAGAGGGUGUCAGAGGGGAGUGGAAUUUCCGGAGUAGCGGUAAAAUGCGCAGAGAUCGGAAAGAACACCAAUGGCGAAGGCAGCUCCCUGGGGCAUACCUGACGCUAAGAGACGAAAGCUAGGGGAGCGAACAGGAUUAGAGACCCUGGUAGUCCUAGCCCUAAACGAUGGAUGCUGGAUGUGGGGCCAUAGCGCUCCGUGUCGAAGCGAACGCGUUAAGCAUCCCGCCUGGGGACUACGGCCGCAAGGUUAAAACUCAAACGAAUUGACGGGACCCCGCACAAGCAGCGGAGCGUGUGGUUUAAUUCGAUGCUACACGAAGAACCUUACCUGGGUUUGACAUCUAGGUGGUAGCGAAGUGAAAGCGGAGCGACCCUUCGGGGAGCCUAGACAGGUGCUGCAUGGCUGUCGUCAGCUCGUGCCGUGAGGUGUCGGGUUAAGUCCAGUAACGAGCGCAACCCUUGCCCUCCGUUAUACGCGUCAGAGGGGACUGCCGGCGGUAAGCCGGAGGAAGGUGGGGAUGACGUCAAGUCAGCAUGGCUUUUAUAUCCAGGGC